CAUGUAUUUCCUAUUCUGUCUGGUUGGCUUGCUGCUAAAAACUCGGAAUAGAGAAGAGAAGACAGUCUUGUGGAGGGUCAGAGGAGCCACUGUUUGUAGUUAUUUGGGAUCUUUGAGGAAACCCCUGCUAAAAUAACUUGAUUGGAGAUUUUCCUUAGUCUGGACCAAACCUUCCCAUUAUUGGACACAGAUGGUCAGCUAGUAAUCAAUCAUCUAUAAUUAUGCUUUGGAAAAACCUCAUGAGCAAAGACCCUCAACUUGUAGUCAAAGCUACAAUUUGACAUUUCCCAGGAUUGGACGAGGCUGGUAAGGUGAAAGAGUAGAGGCCUGAAGAUUCCAGAGAGCUAGUGACAACAUCACUGAAGUGGCUGAGAUCCACAGUGUGUCAGGAGGUGUUUCUAGAGAGGUAAAGUAGAUGGGAAAUGAGAGGACAAGAAUUCAGUAAGCUCCUUAACCUCCUGCCUCAUUUAUCAAAUGGGUCUGAUGAAAGUGAUAUAUGUGAAAGCACCUGGCAUAAUAUUGGUCAGAUUGUGGUGCUUGAUGAUAGAAUGGUGCAUAAAUAAAUAAACAGAGGCUCUCAAUCAAUGUUGGGUGAAUGUGAAUCUGAAAAGGGCCUUUACUGAGUGGGAUAAUAAAGAAGGACCAAAGGAACAAAUAGCAUUGUAAAUGAGACCAGGGUCAAAGAAUUGAGCUAGCGGAAGGGAUCAAUAGAAGGUCAUGGUCAUUGCAGACUUUUUCUCUUACAUAUUAGGACCUCUCUUAACCUUGCUCCUCCUGUUUCACUGAUGCUUUUUAUUCCCUCCAUGAAUCUUACUGCAUAUAAAUCCAGUGUGUGCAUAUAUUGCACACUCACGAUUAGGAGACUAGUCUCUAGCAAUCUGUGACACGUUUGCUUUCCUCUUUUAAAUCUGUCUGCUUACAGAAAGCAUGGCAUUUUCCCCCAAAUCUUUUUACAUCAGUUGCACCUGAAAUGAUGUAAUUUAAAUAAUACAUAAACAGAUAACAUAUAAAUGCAAAAAGAAGAGAACAUUGUUGCCAUGAAAAUUUGAGUUGAAUGAUGUGUAGAGAUGCAAUAAAAUUUAAUUGCUAAAAAUAUUGCUCUCCAAGUAGACGUGGGCGAGAAACAUUGAGGACUGAAAAAUAAUGUUGGCCAGGCGUGGUGGCUCACACCUGUAAUCCCAGCAUUUUGGGAGGCCAAGGCGGACAGAUCAGGAAGUGAAGAGAUCGAGACCAUCCUGGCCAACAUGGUGAAACCCCAUCUCUACUAAAAAUAGAAAAAUUAGCUGGGCAUGGUGGCACAUGCCUGUAGUCCCAGCUACUUGGGAGGCUGAGGCAGGAGAAUCGCUUGAACCCGGGAGGCAGAGGUUGCAGUAAGCCAAGAUCGCGUCACUGCACUCCAGCCUGGCGACAGAGC